AUUGUACUCCCUCUGUCCGAAAAAGCUUGUCCCUAAAUGGAUGUAUCUAGCAUCAAGUUAGUGCUAGAUACAUCCAUUUGAGGGACAAGCUUUCUCAGACGAAGGGAGUAAUAG
rfam:Triticum aestivum genome assembly, contig: Triticum_aestivum_CS42_TGACv1_scaffold_033457_1BL